rnacentral:rRNA from 1 species
UGUGGCCUACGGGACGCAGCAGUGAGGAAUAUUGGUCAAUGGGCGGGAGCCUGAACCAGCCAAGUCGCGUGAGGGAAGAAGGUACUGAGUAUUGUAAACCUCUUUUGCCAGGGGACAAAGGCGGCCACGGGUGGCCGUAAGAGGGUACCUGGAGAAAAAGCAUCGGCUAACUCCGUGCCGGCAGCCGCGGUAAUACGGAGGAUGCGAGCGUUAUCCGGAUUUAUUGGGUUUAAAGGGUGCGCAGGCGGCGUGUC